UAUUAGGUUGGUGCAAAAGUAAUUGCAGUUUUUUCCAUUUAAGUAAUGGUAAGAACCACAAUUACUUUUGCACCAACCUAA
rnacentral:miRNA from 1 species